rnacentral:rRNA from 1 species
AGGACGAACGCUGGCGGCGUGCUUAACACAUGCAAGUCGAGCGGUAAGGCCUUUCGGGGUACACGAGCGGCGAACGGGUGAGUAACACGUGGGUGAUCUGCCCUGCACUCUGGGAUAAGCCUGGGAAACUGGGUCUAAUACCGGAUAUGACCUGCUCUCGCAGUGGGGGGUGGGUGGAAAGAUUUAUCGGUGCAGGAUGGGCCCGCGGCCUAUCAGCUUGUUGGUGGGUAAUGGCCUACCAAGGCGACGACGGGUAGCCGACCUGAGAGGGUGACCGGCCACACUGGGACUCGAGACACGGCCCAGACUCCUACGGGAGGCAGCAGUGGGGAAUAUUGACACAAUGGGCGAAAGCCUGAUGCAGCGACGCCGCGUGAGGAUGAAGGCCGUUCGGUUGUAAACCUCUUUCAGCGAGGACGAA